GUACUCGAGUGGCGAACGGGUGAGUAACACGUGGGUGAUCUGCCCUGCACUUUGGGAUAAGCCUGGGAAACUGGGUCUAAUACCGAAUAUGACCGCGCUCUUCAUGGGGUGUGGUGGAAAGCUUUUGCGGUGUGGGAUGGGCCCGCGGCCUAUCAGCUUGUUGGUGGGGUAAUGGCCUACCAAGGCGACGACGGGUAGCCGGCCUGAGAGGGUGACCGGCCACACUGGGACUGAGAUACGGCCCAGACUCCUACGGGAGGCAGCAGUGGGGAAUAUUGCACAAUGGGCGCAAGCCUGAUGCAGCGACGCCGCGUGAGGGAUGACGGCCUUCGGGUUGUAAACCUCUUUCAAUAGGGACGAAGCGCAAGUGACGGUACCUAUAGAAGAAGGACCGGCCAACUACGUGCCAGCAGCCGCGGUAAUACGUAGGGUCCGAGCGUUGUCCGGAAUUACUGGGCGUAAAGAGCUCGUAGGUGGUUUGUCGCGUUGUUCGUGAAAACUCACAGCUUAACUGUGGGCGUGCGGGCGAUACGGGCAGACUAGAGUACUGCAGGGGAGACUGGAAUUCCUGGUGUAGCGGUGGAAUGCGCAGAUAUCAGGAGGAACACCGGUGGCGAAGGCGGGUCUCUGGGCAGUAACUGACGCUGAGGAGCGAAAGCGUGGGGAGCGAACAGGAUUAGAUACCCUGGUAGUCCACGCCGUAAACGGUGGGUACUAGGUGUGGGUUUCCUUCCUUGGGAUCCGUGCCGUAGCUAACGCAUUAAGUACCCCGCCUGGGGAGUACGGCCGCAAGGCUAAAACUCAAAGGAAUUGACGGGGGCCCGCACAAGCGGCGGAGCAUGUGGAUUAAUUCGAUGCAACGCGAAGAACCUUACCUGGGUUUGACAUGCACAGGACGCCAGUAGAGAUAUUGGUUCCCUUGUGGCCUGUGUGCAGGUGGUGCAUGGCUGUCGUCAGCUCGUGUCGUGAGAUGUUGGGUUAAGUCCCGCAACGAGCGCAACCCUUGUCUCAUGUUGCCAGCACGUAAUGGUGGGGACUCGUGAGAGACUGCCGGGGUCAACUCGGAGGAAGGUGGGGAUGACGUCAAGUCAUCAUGCCCCUUAUGUCCAGGGCUUCACACAUGCUACAAUGGCCGGUACAAAGGGCUGCGAUGCCGUGAGGUGGAGCGAAUCCUUUCAAAGCCGGUCUCAGUUCGGAUCGGGGUCUGCAACUCGACCCCGUGAAGUCGGAGUCGCUAGUAAUCGCAGAUCAGCAACGCUGCGGUGAAUACGUUCCCGGGCCUUGUACACACCGCCCGUCACGUCAUGAAAGUCGGUAACACCCGAAGCCGGUGGCCUAACCC
rnacentral:rRNA from 1 species